AUUGAACGCUGGCGGCAUGCCUUACACAUGCAAGUCGAACGGCAGCACGGGAGCUUGCUCCUGGUGGCGAGUGGCGAACGGGUGAGUAAUACAUCGGAACGUACCCUGAAGUGGGGGAUAACGUAGCGAAAGUUACGCUAAUACCGCAUAUUCUGUGAGCAGGAAAGAGGGGGAUCGCAAGACCUCUUGCUUUAGGAGCGGCCGAUGUCGGAUUAGCUAGUUGGUGAGGUAAAGGCUCACCAAGGCGACGAUCCGUAGCGGGUCUGAGAGGAUGAUCCGCCACACUGGGACUGAGACACGGCCCAGACUCCUACGGGAGGCAGCAGUGGGGAAUUUUGGACAAUGGGCGCAAGCCUGAUCCAGCCAUGCCGCGUGAGUGAAGAAGGCCUGGUUGUAAGCUCUUCGUGGGAGAAU
rnacentral:rRNA from 1 species